rnacentral:rRNA from 1 species
UACGAAGGGGGCUAGCAUUGCUCGGAAUGACUGGGCGUAAAGGGCGCGUAGGCGGCGCGGAUAGUCGGCGGUGAAAGCCCGGAGCUCAACUCCGGGUCGGCCGUCGAUACUUCCGGGCUUGAGCACUGUAGAGGCAGAUGGAAUUCCGGGUGUAGCGGUGGAAUGCGUAGAGAUCCGGAAGAACACCGGUGGCGAAGGCGGUCUGCUGGGCAGUUGCUGACGCUGAUGCGCGACAGCGUGGGGAGCAAACAGG